AUCUCAAUGAAACCGGCGAAGAACUCACCUCCAUGGUGUCCUCCUCAUCUCGUCAUCAGAAUGGUAAAACCAAGUGAUGAUAAUCUCUGGCGCAGACCAGGCAAAGCCGCACAUUGAAAUGGUACUUAUGAAAAUAGCCUCAAAUGUGUUUAACCACCACCACACCACCUUGUAAGAUUUUGUUUUAGCAAAAUUUUGUCAUAUUUAGACCUGAUAGGGAAAUACAUAUCUAACUAAAUAUACAUAUCACUAUGAUUAAGUCAAAAGUGAUGAAUAAUUGUAACUACAAUAUGUAAGGGGUAAUGCCACCUUGAAAUAUUUACAUAUGUAAAAUGCAAAAGGACUUAAUAUUGUUUUUUUUUAAUUCUCUAGGAGAAUCAUAAAACAUAAAUAACGUAAUAUUGUGUGUUCUCUUAAAGCUUGUUUGAAGCUUUUUUUUAACGAAUUUAAAAUAUGUGAUUUAUUAAAAAUUAUAAAAAAUAUCAAAAAAAAAAUUGGGCCUGUAUUCUACUUUGUGUGAAAAAUGCUAUUUACUUUUUUAAAUAUUCAUUAACGAUUGAAAUUGUAUAGAGAGGUCAUAUAUCACUGCUGAAAGGCCUAUACGAAUCGCCAGCUAAAAUGCAAACAGGCUUAAUCAAUUUUUUUUUUAAUUUUGGAAACUUCUAUAACAACAAAAAAAUACAGUGAUAAGCCUUUAUUUGGAAUAUAUCUUUUACUGAUGCCAGUAAAUCUUAAUUUCAUAGAAAAUUUGACUUCGCAAAAUUUCAUCCUAUUCAGAUAGGAAAUAACGAAUAGAUUUCCUUCGGAAGAUUGACUUGUAUGGGAGCUAUGAAACGAUUUGGAGCAUAUAUACUUGGCUUCGGUGUUGGAAGUCGUAGCUUAACUUCCAGCCAAAUCUGGUAAGAAUUAGCAAGAAAUCAAAUCAGAAGAUGGGUUUAUAUGAAACUAGAAUCAGUUUACAAACUGUUUUUGAAUAAUUUUUAGCUUUAUAUUUAACUGAUUUGAACCAUAUUUAGUAUAACAGAAGUCUGCAUAAGAGGACAUGUUCAUCUCUGCGUUAUGGUGCCUCAGCCACUGCCAUUUGGUUGGUAACAUUACCAAACAUAGGAGGCCACCGUAGCGCAGAGGUUAGCAUGUCCGAAUAUGACGCCGAACGCCUGGGUUCGAAUCCUGGCAGGAACAUCAGAAAAUAUGUCAGCGGUGGUUAUACCCUUCUAAUGCUGGCGACAUUUGUGCGUUACUUUGCCAUGUAAAAACUUCUGUCCAAAGAGGUGUCGCUCUGCGGCACGCCGUUUGGACUCGGCUAUAAAAUGGACGUCCCUUAUCAUUGAGCUUAAAAUUGAAUCGGACAGAACUCAUUGAUUUGUGAGAAGUUUGCCCCAGUUGCUUAAUGAAAUGUUCAUGGGCAAAUUUGGAACAUAGACACAUAGGGAAGAGGUUUGGACUCGGCUAUAAAAUGGAUGUCCCUUAUCAUUGAGCUUAAAAUUGAAUCGGACAGCACUCAUUGAUUUGUGAGAAGUUUGCCCCAGUUGCUUAAUGGAAUGUUCAUGGGCAAAUUUGCAACAUAGACACAUAGGGAAGAGGUCAAUAAAGAACCAUCGCACUCUUAAUGAUCAGUUGUGACGAUAUUUAGAUUGACACUCAUGACACUGCCUUGAAGUGGUAUCACCUGACCUCUUUCCAAUCAUGUUCUUGGUUUGCAUCUCAUAAUAUACCAGGUUAGGCUCAUUGGACUUUUUUGGUUACGGCUUCUCUUUGACUAUUAGCUGUGGCGUCUCUCCGGGAACCAAUAACUACUCCUUCCUUCAUAUUGAAUUGUAGGCUUAUUGCAGGAAAUUUUCUUACGGUCACAAGUAUCACAAUGUUGAAAAAUAUUUUGAAUAAGAUUGAGUAUGUGGUUUUCUUUGUAUUCUUCCUUGAUUUGGUGCGGCACCCAAGCUUCAGGGUUAUUUCGCAAAUCGCAUGGAUGUCUUUCUUCAAAACUAUCCGCGUUUGUAAGGUCUCCUCCAGCUCAAAAUAUCUCUUUUGUAAACUACAAGACCCAUCUUCGAGUGCCAGUGUUGUUCCGAAACACUUCUGUCUGUUUUUGACGACUUUUAAAGGCAAAGGGAAGUUGCUUGAAAAUUGUGUUUUGUUCUUUAAAGGGCCUAUCUUAAACCCUAAAAUAGAUGCACAUUUAAUUGUUUUAACAAAUGAAGCCGAAGAGAAGUAAAAGAGCAGUGAAUCACUUGUUCAAACUUUCUGCAAAUCGUGCCUAAAGUAUUUUUAGCUUAUAACCAUAUGAGUCUAUUAAAUUCCUUUAGAAAUUAAAAAAAAACAAAUUCUGUUAAAAAUUAUUUAAGUCCAUUUGCUUCUUCUAUGAAAAUCGUAUCGUUAGCAAUUAUAAUAUAUGUAAUUAAUUUUACUUUACUCUGAAAUGAUUAAAGUCCAUUUGGAUUUUCUAUGAAAUUAGGUUAUCACAAUUGAAUAUAGUUUGUAUUACAAAAUGACAAUCUACGAAUUUAUUUAAAAUUUCUAUAAAUGAAAAUUUUAUAAUGCAUCUGCCGUUGCAUUUAGUCUAGCAAAGAUUAUUGACCAUUAGACGAUGUCCCAGUAUGAGUUUAAAGCAAAACGCAUUAAAAGUUUAAACCAUAGGUUAUCAUUUCAAUAAAUAUGUCUGUAUGCAAGUGGACAUUGUGACAGUAAACAUUUUUAAAAAAAAUUUAUUUUGCCCCAAAAGAAGUUCUGUCUCACAAUCAUUGUCAUGUUCUCUUAUUUUUUUUUGCCCCUUAAUUGAUUGAAUUAUAUUUUUAAUCAAUACAGAAUGACAUAGAUUGGAAUCUGCAUGAUUGGUACUUAUAUAUGUAUGUAUGUAUUUGUGUACACAUCUCGUUCGAUGCAUUUGACUACACAUUUAUGUAUAAGAGUGUAGUCAUAUGAAGCACUAAACGUAUUUCCAACUGAACUGAAGUUCUUCAUUAGAGCUAACUGAUAAGGAUGACUUGUAAUCUUUGCUAGCAUAAUUAUGUAAAUUGUAAAAAAAAACAAAUAUUGAUUACAUCGUUCUUUGAACAAUAUUAAAGUAUUAUGAAGAUUAAAAAUAAAAAUAAUUAUUUAACAAACAAUAAAUCGACCAUUUAUAA